GAAAGGCAGGGCCUUGAAGAGGUGAUUAAGUUGAUGGUUUACUGGUAUUUGUUGGCAUGGUUUUGAGGGCUUUAAAAGGAGAGCACAUGAGGACCUGUCUCUCUCUGCUCCGACCUUUCUCAAAAUAUGAAACCCUGUGUUGCUGAAGCCACGUCCAAGGAAGACCUUUACCAGAUGUGUUCCAUGGACUUUGGACUUCCCAGCCUCAGAAACUAGUCUGAGAUUUUGUCAGUCAAUGGCAGAGGGAGCCUAUGUGACCAGGCCCGGUGCAAACCUUGGACAUUGAAUCUCUGGUGUCCCUGCAGCACUGCAGUAAUGAACUUCCCUGCAACACUUUUCACAUGUUGUCACAAUUUGACCCUGGAGGAAUGAAGUGCAUCCUGGGUAACUCCAAUGGGAGAGAACUUGAGGCUGGUUACCUCUGGAUUUUGCCCCACAUGCCUUUUCCCUGUCGGGCCUUAAAACUAAUGCCACCUUAAGUGACAUUACAAGCGGUGCCAUUAUAGGCCCACAAGGGUGUAUUAACAUGGCAGCCUAAGGCCUCACCAGGAGGAAGUAGGGUGGGAGCGUCUUCGGGAACCUUGCCUUAGCCCUUAUUGGCCAAAUACAUGCUUCUGCACUCGUGAACACUGCGUGGUUGCAAUAGCUAGGCAUUGAGACAGGAUGCAUGCCCUUGACCUUUAAGCUGAUUGGAUUAUGUUAAAACCGCCCUUCCCCAUCUGCCUAUAAAAGCAAGUGCUUGUGUGGUAAUAAACGGAACUGCUCGACAGAA